rnacentral:rRNA from 1 species
UUGAACGCUGGCGGCAUGCCUUACACAUGCAAGUCGAACGGCAGCACGGGAGCAAUCCUGGUGGCGAGUGGCGAACGGGUGAGUAAUAUAUCGGAACGUGCCCAGUCGUGGGGGAUAACGUAGCGAAAGCUACGCUAAUACCGCAUACGAUCUAUCGGAUGAAAGCGGGGGAUCGCAAGACCUCGCGCGAUUGGAGCGGCCGAUAUCAGAUUAGGUAGUUGGUGAGGUAAAGGCUCACCAAGCCGACGAUCUGUAGCUGGUCUGAGAGGACGACCAGCCACACUGGGACUGAGACACGGCCCAGACUCCUACGGGAGGCAGCAGUGGGGAAUUUUGGACAAUGGGCGCAAGCCUGAUCCAGCAAUGCCGCGUGCAGGAUGAAGGCCUUCGGGUUGUAAACUGCUUUUGUACGGAACGAAACGGUGAGCUCUAAUACAGUUUGCUAAUGACGGUACCGUAAGAAUAAGCACCGGCUAACUACGUG